UGGGAAGUCCUUGUGUUGCACCCCUU
rnacentral:rRNA from 2 species